rnacentral:ncRNA from 1 species
CGUAUGACGUGGAAAAGGAGUAGUAUUGAUUUUUUCAAGUUUUAGAGAGGCAGCGGCUGGUGAAAGCUGCCCUUGAGAAUCAAGAACUCGCCUUGGAUGUCGCAGAAGUGAACGGAAGUAGUUUCUGCCGGUGUGGUCGCCGUUAUCGAAGUCAAGUUGAACACUUUAUAGGUGUUAAUUUGGGUGGUACCGCGGGAAUCAAGCCUCUCGUCCCAUAU